UACAGAGGUGGCGAGCGUUGUUCGGAUUUACUGGGCGUAAAGGGCGCGUAGGCGGCAGCGUGUGUGGGGUGUGAAAUCUCCGGGCUUAACCCGGAAAGUGCGCCACAAACUGCGUGGCUUGAGUGCGGGAGGGGAGAUCGGAAUGCAGGGUGUAGCGGUGAAAUGCGUUGAUAUCCUGCAGAACACCGGUGGCGAAGGCGGAUCUCUGGAACGCAACUGACGCUGAGGCGCGAAAGUCGGGGGAGCAAACAGG
rnacentral:rRNA from 1 species